AUCAAGAAUAACCCUUCCCAUGGCUAACCGUUACCAACAUUUCCAUACCUCUCGACGGACAACAUACAAAACGAUUAUAAUGCUAUGAUCAAAGUAUAUUUAAGCCAUUUUCGCAUGGCUAUCCAAAUUUACACAAAACCGAAGGGUACAUGACCAACAACAAAAGGGUAGUCCUAUACAUGCCAUUUUCAGAGUUCAACCAAAAGUGUACCAAAAGGGCUUUGAUAGUGUGGGCGACUUCGACUUCAAAAUCCCGAGUCCGAUAGCUGAAGAACCAAAAUCUAUAAAACAGAGAAUCAAAGAAACGGAGUAAGCAUUAAAUGCUUAGUAAGUUUUGAGCAAAGAGUUUAGACACAACCAAAGUAUAGCAUUCAUGUAGCUAAACGGAUAAUUUCAUAUGCACAAAUUUUCAAUAUCAUACUUACUUCACAUUACCAACCCUUAUGUUCAUACACAAAAGAUCAACUUAGCCAAAGGUCGGUAGCUCAUUUAUCAACUGAGCGAAUACUUAUUUGUAAGGGCUCAACUAAUUCAAAGCACAUACGAAACAUACCUCAAUGCUGGGAUGUUACAAGCGUAUUAACUGAAAUUUUUACAGCAAGAUCGCUCAUUCCCGAAUCACGUACCUUCGGAAUUUAACCGGAUAUAGCUACUCGUUCAAAUGCCUUCGGGACAUAGCCCGGUUAUAGUAACUCGCACAAAUGCCUUCGGGACUUAACUCGGAUUUAGUAACUCGCACCAAUGCCUUCGGGCUUAGCCCGGAAUUAGUAACUCGCACAAAUGCCUUCGGAUCUUAGUCCGGAUAUGGUCACUUAGCACAAAGCCUUCGGGACUUAGCCCGGACAUCAUUCGAAUAACCAUGCACAUUUAACAAUAAAU
rnacentral:lncRNA from 1 species